GCAGUGUGGGUAUCCUGGGAGGUCCCAGCCCCCAGGCUCUGUCCACGUGGCGCACGGGAGGGAGCUCAGGGCUCUGCCUCACUAUGUGCAGUCCUUUUCCAGAAUUUUGGAGAUGAAGCUGGGUCUUGAGUCUGCACCUGCAUAGUCCUAAAGCAUCUUAGAGUCGCACAGACAGUAGCUGAGAAGACAGUGCAUGCAGGAAACAACC
ensembl:snoRNA SNORA73 Small nucleolar RNA SNORA73 family